AAGUUAGAUCUCGUUGGUGACCAGCGGAGGGAUCAUUAAAGAGUUCUAUAACUCCCAAACCCAUGUGAACAUACCUAACGUUGCCUCGGCAGGUCGCGCCUACCUCGUAGCCCCCUACCCUGUAGGGCCUACCCGGGAGACGCGGGUAAGCCUGCCGGCGGCCCACCAAACUCUGUUUGAUAUUGAAUUCUGAACCUAUAACUAAAUAAGUUAAAACUUUCAACAACGGAUCUCUUGGUUCUGGCAUCGAUGAAGAACGCAGCGAAAUGCGAUAAGUAAUGUGAAUUGCAGAAUUCAGUGAAUCAUCGAAUCUUUGAACGCAUAUUGCGCCCAUUAGUAUUCUAGUGGGCAGGACCGUUCGAGCGUCAUUUCGACCCUUAAGCCUUAGUUGCUUAGUGUUGGGAGCCUACGGUAACGUAGCUCCUCAAAGUUAGUGGCGGAGUUGGUUCAGGGUCUAGACGUAUUAAUUUUUUAUCUCGCCGAUCAGUUGGACCGAUCCCCUGCCGUAAAACCCCCAACUUCUCAAGGUUGACCUCUAAUCGGUUCAGACAAUCUCUCUAAAUUGUUGCAU
rnacentral:rRNA from 1 species